rnacentral:rRNA from 1 species
ACACGUGGGUAACCUGCCCAAGAGACUGGGAUAACACCUGGAAACAGAUGCUAAUACCGGAUAACAACACUAGACGCAUGUCUAGAGUUUGAAAGAUGGUUCUGCUAUCACUCUUGGAUGGACCUGCGGUGCAUUAGCUAGUUGGUAAGGUAACGGCUUACCAAGGCAAUGAUGCAUAGCCGAGUUGAGAGACUGAUCGGCCACAUUGGGACUGAGACACGGCCCAAACUCCUACGGGAGGCAGCAGUAGGGAAUCUUCCACAAUGGACGAAAGUCUGAUGGAGCAACGCCGCGUGAGUGAAGAAGGGUUUCGGCUCGUAAAGCUCUGUUGGUAGUGAAGAAAGAUAGAGGUAGUAACUGGCCUUUAUUUGACGGUAAUUACUUAGAAAGUCACGGCUAACUACGUGCCAGCAGCCGCGGUAAUACGUAGGUGGCAAGCGUUGUCCGGAUUUAUUGGGCGUAAAGCGAGUGCAGGCGGUUCAAUAAGUCUGAUGUGAAAGCCUUCGGCUCAACCGGAGAAUUGCAUCAGAAACUGUUGAACUUGAGUGCAGAAGAGGAGAGUGGAACUCCAUGUGUAGCGGUGGAAUGCGUAGAUAUAUGGAAGAACACCAGUGGCGAAGGCGGCUCUCUGGUCUGCAACUGACGCUGAGGCUCGAAAGCAUGGGUAGCGAACAGGAUUAGAUACCCUGGUAGUCCAUGCCGUAAAC